rnacentral:rRNA from 1 species
UGCCUCGAAGCUCGGUCGCGCGCAACGCGUCGGAGCGCAUUUAUUAGAACAAAACCAAUCGGACGCAGGCUAUCUAUUGGUCUGGGUCCGCGAAAGGUUGGUGAAUCGGAAUAACUAUGCUGAUCGCACGGUCCAGCACCGGCGACGAAUCUUUGAAAUGACUUGCUCAUCAACUUUCGAUGGUACGCUACGUGCUUACCAUGGUGACAACGGUUAACGGAGAAUCAGGGUUCGACUCCGGAGAGGGAGCCUGAGAAACGGCUACCACAUCCAAGGAAGGCAGCAGGCACGCAAAUUACCCACUCCCAGAUCGGGGAGGUAGUGACGAAAAAUAACGGAACGUAUCUCCAUGAGACGCGUUACCGGAACGACUGAGCCGUACACAAGCUCGGCUAAAUCUAUUGGAGGGCAAGUCUGGUGCCAGCAGCCGCGGUAAUUCCAGCUCCAAUAGCGUAUAUUAAAGUUGCUGCGGUUAAACCGCUCGUAGUUGGAUUGCGGAUGUCGACGACGGUCGUCCUAAGC